rnacentral:rRNA from 1 species
CAGCCGCCGCGGUAAUACCGGCGGCCCGAGUGGCGGUCACUAUUAUUGGGCUUAAAGCGUCCGUAGCCGGGGUGGGAAGGCCUCCGGGAAAUCUGGCCGCUUAACGGUCAGAAUGCCGGAGGAUACUCCCAGCCUAGGGAGCGGGAGAGGCCGAGGGGAUUCCCGGAGUAGGGGUGAAAUCCUAUAAUCCCGGGAGGACCACCUGUGGCGAAGGCGCUCGGCUGGAACGCGUCCGACGGUGAGGGACGAAGGCCAGGGGAGCAAACCGGAUUAGAUACCCGGGUAGUCCUGGCUGUAAACGAUGCGGACUUUGUGUCGGACAAGCUAUGAGCUUGUCCGGUGCCGGAGGGAAACCGUUAAGUCCGCCGCCUGGGGAGUACGGCCGCAAGGCUGAAACUUAAAGGAAUUGGCGGG